AUUAGUUCCUCGUUCAGAACCUCACUUUUUCCAGGAAGUUUGAGAAUGCUCUAUUCCACAUGCUGUCUUUGAAUUGCUGUGCCCUACCCAGCACCCAUUUACGCCUGAAGUCAAGUUCCAACGGAAGUGAUAUUUCUGACCUAGCUCUAUAAAUAGAGCACUGGAAAAAACCCAUCAGCUGCCAUGGCCCAGAGACCACACGCUAUGUAUUAAGCCAAUGUUUAUCCAGAAAUGGGACAGAACUAUGGGUUUACUGAAAAUGACCAGCAUCAGCAAAGUGAUCAAGACCACCAACUUUGCGUAAUGUGUCCCACAUCUCAGACGUCAGUUGAUGUAUUACAGUAAAGAAUUAUGAGCCAUUUAGAAAGUAUUACAAGUGACCAUUCGUCCCCUCUCUGGGAGGGAGAACUCAUGGAAUUCACACUCCCUCCAUUUUCUGGACACCCUAUUCAUUUUCUUUUCCUCAUUAAACUGUAAUAUUCAA